AUGGCCUGGUGGUGGAUAGGGAGGAGUGGAUAGUGGAAGAGAGAUGUGGAGAGUAGGAUGGUGGAAGGGGGAGGUGGAGGUGGCUAUGGCGGACGUGACUGGGUUGAGGUGGUGGUUGUGGUGGUGUUUGGUAUGGUUGGAAUGGUUGUAGAGGGUGUUGGUAGUGAUGGUGAACGUGACUGGCUUAUGUUAAAGGUGGUUGUGGUUGUUGGGGAUGGUGGUGGUUGUGUGACAGUGGUGGGUGCAGCGGACGCAACGGUGUUGUGGUUGUUGGGUGUGGUUGAGGAUUGCGAUGGUGGUGGUGGUGGAGGUGAUAGGUGGCGGUGGUCGUAGUCGGAGCGGGCUAAGCGGUGGUGGUGGUGGUGUAAAAAGGUGUUUAUCGGACGGAGUGGAAGUGGUGGUGGUGGCGGUGAUACGAUUAUCAGGGAUGAGAGAGAGAGAGAGAGAGAGAGAGAGAGAGUGUGUGUGUGUGUGUGUGUGUGUACUCCUAUAAUCAGCAAAUUGCAGUCACUCGUUCGCUUGUUUCACCUCUCUGUUUCAGGCCUUCUCUCCCCUUCCCUUCCUCCCCGCUCCCUUCCUAACCUGCCCGCCACCCUCUCCCCGCUUUUUCCUGCCUGUCCUCCCCUGCUCCUCGUGUCCCAGGUGACCCAUGAACUACCUCUAACAAUGGUGAUGAAGAACCAGAAGUGGGUUGUAGGUGACGAGAUAACUAUCCCAGGUCAUCCCGGAAGUGGCGAGGUGACCCCAUACAGCUCCACAAGGUCGUGGAGGACACCAGACAUAGCCACGUGGUCGCCUACACUCAGCCAUCCACCUCACCUGCCCCAGACUGCUACCCGGACACCAUCCAGCCACAAGAACCCAGAUAAGCACUUCCGGGGUCCUUGGUUGUGGUUAGCUAGCUAGUUUGUUUAGGGAUCACUUGCUGUACAUAGGAACCCUCCUCGGUCUGUUGCUAUUUUUUUUAUUUUUUUUUUUGAGGUGUAACGCUGUCCUCUACGUGAGAGUGAUAGUGUUUAUCUUUAUUUAUUUAUUUUUUUUCCUGAAGACCAGUUCUGAUGUUAUCUUGGAGGUUAACGGAGAAGAGUUCUUCACACCUGUGUUUGUUGUUUUAUUUUAUUUUUUUAUUGGUCACUUUUUGUUUUUUGUUGUGAUUGUUAUUAAUUUUAUUUAUUUGUAUUGAAAUAUGUGAGUAUGAAUGCAGCACAAUAUAUAAAGGUGUGCAUUCCAGAGUGAAAGGAAGGCGUGCACAGGGUAGAGUGCACAGGAUGCAGUGCCUUGUUUUUAUCACCAGAUUUUGAUUGAUUGAAGCAAAUGAAAACUUUGGUGUGAGUACCUUACAAAGACACUUGACAAUACUAAUGUCACCUCACCUCGUGGUUUCACCUUAAACCUACAAAUUGGCUGGACACAAGGUCAUAGAAAUAAUUUAUUCUCAUUUAUUCUCAUCUUUACAAAUUAGUCUUUACACAUCAAAGUAACUAAUCACCUUUAUUCAUCCACUUGAGGGGGUUGAAGGAUCGCUAGUCCCAUAUUAAAUUGCCUGUGUUCAACUCGCCUCUCCUCCCUCAUUUACUGACCAAUUCAUUUAAAAAAUAUUUUGAUCAGGAAGGUUGCAAGAAGAAUGUCUGCUAUCUUUUUUUUUUUUUGUACGGUAAGAUUUUUUUUUUUCGAUGAAAAAGUAAAAAAAAAAAACUGAGUGUCAAAUAUUUACUUUCAAAAAUUUGUCAAAAAUCAAAAUCAGUUACAAACAAAAAUGACGACAGCAGACUUUGUUCGCCUCUCACAGCUUGAUAAGCCGCAAUGGCCCAUCUGUGUGUAACACCAAUAACAACGGAGAUCAUUUUUAUAUGCCAAAAUCCGCCAUUUUAAGUUAUGUCAAAGUUUAAGGGGUGACUAUAAUACACCUAUUGCAGCUAAGGACUUGAAAUUCACAUGAUAUAUACAUCACAAUAUGUUGAAAAACAGAUAUAGAUUAAUUUAGUUACUACGAUUGCUUUUGUACAUAGGCCUAAAGUAAUUCAUGAUUUCACCCUUAAUUACCCGGGGGGGAGGGGGGAAGGCGGGUGAAAACAAUUUUUGUUAUAUUUCGACUUUUAGAUCAAAACCAGUGUUUAACUGUUUGAAAUAAAUAAAAUAUUAAUGCAAAAGAUAUCUAAUGCAGACACAUUGACUAUUUCCUAGAUUUACGGAAAAAUAUUUAUCUUAUUUUUCGUAUAUAAAUUUGAAAAAAAUAGUUAGACCUAAAAUUACGUACUCUCUAAUGUUGUACGCAGCAAAAGAAGCGUAGAUAUUCAUAGGAGACUGAGGAAGAACGGGUACGCCAGAAAGAAAAAAAAAAAAAAGUCAUGUCUCGCAGCGGGCGAAACCGUGAAAUUUCAUAACAGAAGACCUCAUUACAUAAGGGGAUAUAUACAUAUAUAUAUAUAUAUAUAUAUAUAUAUAUAUAUAUAUAUAUAUAUAUAUAUAUAUAUAUAUAUAUAUAUAUAUAUAUAUAUAUAUAUAUAUAUAUAUAUAUAUAUAUAUAUAUUUAUCUAUUUAUUUAUUUAUCAAAACGUUACAUAUAUAAAAAAUGGGGGAAAAAAUGUAGAAAAUAAAAAAAAUAAAAAAAAAAUUCAUAUCCGGAUCGUACAACGACACCCUUGAUGCAAAACAUGUUUGCGCGCCUGACGAUGUUAAGACACACGACACACACUUCCCUUGAGAAAAGAUGAUAGCCUUCACGAGCGUCUUACUAUUUCUUUGCAGAGCCCCUCUUCUUGAUGACGACGCGUACACUGUCAGCUACACUUUGCAGUGUGUUACUUAAAUUUUUCUCUAUCUUUGUAUCUCUCCAUUUCAGAUAAAUUGUUAUCUUUCCAAGGGUUGAGAAGAAAAUGGUCGUGGUUCAAGUGAAGCCACUACAGCCACUCCCUGACAAGCCUUCCACACCGACAGACAGUGACAGCAGACACACAAGAGACGAUGGUGUGGUGGACAAGAGGAUGCAGGGAGACAGCAGACAGAAUGGAAGCUACAGAUGAAAGAAGAGCAGGUCAAGCCAUGGCAGCAGACACAUAGACAGACAGAUUGGAUAAGAAAGAAGUAUUAUUUAGUGAGACAGGACCACUGGAAGCUGUCAGAGUGCUGUGGCACGUGGCAAGAACCAAGUGUUCAGGAGCACACACUGUCCCUUCACCAGUCAGCAGGUCUGGGCGGCUUGGAAGCCUCACUACAAACUGAAGACCCGUUCACUUGAAGGACACAGUUGGAGUUAUUUUUAAACGAGAGCUUCAGGCAGAAAAUUCGAGUGGAUUUUCAACUCUAAAAAUAACUUUUUUGGGGGGAUAUUUUGAACCUUCUUUAUCUUGAAAAAUAACUCCAGAUAUUAUGACUCUAGCUGGAAGUUGACCUGAGCAAUGUAGGGUUUGCUGCAGUGAGAUUACCAAGGCACGAGUGUCUGGGAUUUAAAGAUGAUGGAUAGGUGUCCUGUGUGCUGCUGUGCUGGGAGGAGAGGAGCAGCAGCAGUCGUGGGGCUCUGUUGCUGCUGUCACUGGUGCAGCUGUUCACUCCUGCAGCUACCUUCCCUCAACAUACUGUGUCUUCCCUCACCUGCAAUGAACAACUAUGAACAAUACUUCUCCUGCGAUGAGGAACAGUGAAUAACACCUCUCUCUCUCUCUCUCUCUCUCUCUCUCUCUCUCUCUCUCUCUCUCUCUCUCUCUCUCUCUCUCUCUCUCUCCACAGUAUGUCCCCCACAGUAUGUUUACAAACCCACAGUGACUCUCCACAGCCCCUCACCAACAAUUGUCUCCUUCACACACACACACACAAAUGUUAGAAUCUUGUAGUGUCUACAACAAGGAAUGGAACCGAAAUCGACAAGCCAAAUUUUCUUCCAGCCUGCGUGAGUGUAGUGAGGCUCAAUGUGUGUGUACAAGUGAAGAAUAUAUAUUAGAUGCUUGACUCAAAAAUAUGAGGCUUACACAAAAAUACAGGACACAACUUGAGUGUGGUGAGUCAAAGGUGAGUCAAAAUGCUCAACUUUGAAUUAACUUACAACAAAAACUAACUAAAUAAAACACACUAUAAAGAAAUAAUCUCAUCAAUUAACACUGAAAAAAAAAUAUAUAUACACCAACACAAAAUAAAUAAAUAAAUAAAUAAAUGAAGACUAAAUCAAGCAAAUUAAUCUGAACGCUAACACACAAACCAACAUAGUCGUAUAUUUUUUAACACUACGGUGAAGAAAGAUAAUGAAGCUUUAACAUUGAGUGAAAGAGAGAGAGAGAGAAAUUUGUGGUCUUCCUAAAUUCUCUCUCUCUCUCUCUCUCUCUCUCUCUCUCUCUCUCUCUCUCUCUCUCU